rnacentral:rRNA from 1 species
CAGCAGCCGCGGUAAGACGGAGGGUGCUAGCGUUGUUCGGAAUCACUGGGCGUAAAGGGCGCGUAGGCGGCCUGUUAAGUCGGAUGUGAAAGCCCGGGGCUCAACCCCGGAACUGCAUCCGAGACUGGCAGGCUUGAGACCGGGAGAGGAGGGUGGAAUAUCCAGUGUAGAGGUGAAAUUCGUAGAUAUUGGAUGGAACACCGGUGGCGAAAGCGGCUCUCUGGCCCGGAUCUGACGCUGAGGCGCGAAAGCGUGGGGAGCAAACAGGAUUAGAUACCCCGGUAGUCCCUGUCUCUUAUAA